AGGGCUCGUAGAGCUUACUUAUCCCGAUUUGUUCAAAGCGUUGGAUACAAAUGGAGAUGGCACGCUCGAUUUCGAUGAAUAUAUCACUGUCUACUACCUCUGCAUGAACAAUAAACUGAUAUUUUGUGAAGCAUGCGGGGUCUUUCUCUCUGGAUCCUACAUGAGUUGCCAUCAAUGCUUCAAAUAUGGUUCUGGGGAUCCCUAUAACAUUUGUUAUGAUUGUUAUAGCAGAAACAAAUUUGAUCAUCAUAGGGAUGCUUACUUUGUCGAUAGUCAAAAACUCCAAUCCGCAGCUAAUAAAGCCUCCGCAGUUAAAAAAGGCACUGCAGUUAACAAUGGCUCCACAACUCGAAGCUCCUGUGGUAAGGUAUGUAUAUAUAAUAUAAUAUAAUUCUGUUACUCUUAGAAAUAUCAAACAACAAAUCUUCAUGCAUAUAAUAAUUAUGAUCCAUCUUGAUUUUUCAGAUAACUACGGAGGAUAAGCUUAGAGCAGCUAUAUUAGGGGUCUCGAUGGUGAAAUUAGGAAUAAAAACUGGUAUUGCUGCGAACACAGCAUCGAACUUUGAGGACCAUGGAAGUAAUUUUGCUGAUGUCGCAUCCAAUGUUUUGGAUUUUGCUGAUGUCGGAUCCAAUGUUUUGGAUUUUGCUGAUGUCGCAUCCAAUGUUUUGGAUUUUGCUGAUGUCGCUGAGCAUUUAGUUACUGCUGCUGAAAUUGCAUCAAAUUGUUCUGUCAUGUAAAAUGUAUAUUUUGCAGCCUUCAACAAAAAAAGAGGGCUGUAUAACUUCAGUGCUUGGCUAUACCUCUUGUUGUUUUAAUUUCAUUUUAUAACUAGAUAAAAAGAUCGCGCAACGGGUGAGAUUGUUUUAUUAUUAUUUUCCAUUGUAAUCUUCUUGAUAAAUGAAAAAUCGCUGCAAUUUAAUUUUUAAUAUUGUGAAUUUAAAUUUAAAAAGUGUACCAACACUCUGGUAUAAAUUGUCUAACCUGAUCGUAAAUGGAAAUGUUAAAUAAGAAAACCGUUAAGGAAUAUAUCUGAGUAUUGUAUGUCCCCUACCAAAGAAAAUUACACAUUAUCUAAUAGGUUAAUAGGAUAAAUCAAUUAAAAAAAAAGAUAAUGGUGGAAGAAAAGAGUGCCAAGUCAGAUUUUUAAUGAUAUUUUUUUAUUUUAGGAUUAUAUAAAUAUGUAGAAUACAUAUAGACAAUGAAAUAUGCCGUUUUAAAUCAUAUUCAAGCAUAACAAAACAAAUUUUUAAAAUUUCAAUCAAAUUUAAAUUCCUUAAUAUUACAUAAUUAAUUCACUUGUUUAUUCAAAUAUAAGUUUGAUAAUUUAAAUCCAUCGAUUUGAAUCUAAAAUUUUUAUUUGAUCUAUAGAUAAAACAAAAAAAAGAGAGAAUUUUCUAAGUUUGAAAUUUGAAUUUAUGCUCACAAAGAGGCUUCUUGCCCAUAUAUUGAGUGUGUCGCGAAUAAAGUAGUAACAAUUACUGAUUAUAAGCUUCAUUUUAAUAUUUCCUUUGGAAUAGAAAAUUUGGAUGUUUAGACUUAAAUCACUUCACGUUCAAAUUAGAAUAAAAAUGAAAAUGGACUUUUAAAUUCAAAAAGAUCAUUUUUAGUUUCCAUACAUAUUAAAUUGAUUUUGAUAUUAAAAUUAGAAUGAGUUUAAUAUAUAAAUAAAUAAUAUACUAUUUGCUUUUGCAAAUUUUUUUUUUUACUUAUAAAGUUAAAAAUUUAAAACCUAGAGUCAUUCUGUGUAGAUACAUAAGGGUGCCCUAAUUACGGCUUCAACAAUUACUUCUUUGUGUAAUAGAAUCGGAACCUUAGGCUCAAUUAUCAAUUGUUAGUCCAUAGGAUAGGAUAGGAUAGGAAACAUUAUCCUGUUUGCAUUCAGACAAACACUUGAAAUCUAUGUACGCUUCCCAAGUCAAAUUGAUACUACUGUCUUGCAAUUUGUUAAGCAGCCUUUAUGGAACCGCCGGAAGUAAAUAUAUAUUUUCGAGUUGAUUUAUAAUUUUACUAUUUGCAGAUCCGUUUAAAAUACAUAUUAAAUAAAUUUGUAUCCUCAGAUUUUAAUCAAUUUAAAUUUGAAAUUUAUUUAAAAUGCAUUUUGUUGCUAAUAAUGAGUAGUUAUUACCAAAUACUUAUUUAAUAUAGUAGGUAAUGGGUAGCAUAUUGUUAAAAAUAGUAAUUUCACUGUUUGUAUCUAUUUCAAACCCUUCUAUUGCUAUUCAUACAUUUUUUAAAUGAAAGAGGAGGAAAUUAUUCUAAAAUACAUGUCCCAUUCUUCUCAGUAAAGACAAUGAUUUACAAAAUUUUAGUAAUUUAAUUAUGGUUUAUAAAAUUUAAUGAAUUACAUUUGUAAUUUAACUUCAUAUGAAUUUGAAUUAAUUAUUAAAACCCACCACUAUUUAAUUAUUUUUUCUUAAUUUUAAAUUCCAAUUGGAGAAAACAAGGGAAAACUCGUCAAUAACUAUACCCACAGUAUCUUUAGAUUGAUAAGAAUCUGAUUAGGUUCUUUCCGUCCUAUACGAAAGGACAAGUCAAUUUGUGGAAAAGCUUAAAGAGACAAAUUUAAUUUUUUAAUUUUUAAAAAAAAGUUAUGUAAGAGGUUCUUCCGAGAAAAUACCUAUAGGACUAGCUAAUAUUGAGGAAGUUUCCAUCCACUUUGAUGGAACUCUGAGGAAGCAUUAUAUAAAGCGCAAAUCACAGAACCAAAAAGCAAAUUAAAGCAAAAGAAAGAAUUAGAAAAACACGGUACAUACAGUUAAAAGAUGGAGAAGAUACGACUGGAUGCUUCAGCUUAUUACAGAAACUUGGCAACUGCAGAUAAGCAAAUGGCAAUCAAUGGGUUCAAUUUAAUGGAUAAAACUGGAAAUGGAAAAAUUAGCCUCAGGCGAUAUUCAGAAUACUUCAAACAAAGAGGGCUUGUAGAGCUUACUUAUCCGGAAUUUUUCAAAGCAUUGGAUUCAAAUGGAGAUGACCGGCUUGAUUUCGAUGAAUUUAUCACUGUCUACUACCUCUGCAUGAAUAAUAAACUGAUAUUCUGUGAAGAAUGUAUGGUGUUUCUAUCUGGGUCGUACAUGAGUUGCCUUCAAUGCUUCAAUAGUGGUUCUGAACCCUAUAAUGUUUGUUGUGCUUGUUAUCGCAAAAACAACAUUGAUCAUCACAAGGAUGCUACCUUUGUCGAUAAUCAAAAACUCAAGAACUCUGCAAAUAAUAACGGCUCCGCAGGUCAAAGCUUUGGUAGUGAGGUAUGUAUAUAUAUAAUUCUGUAACUAUUACAAAUGUCAAACAACACAUAACCAUGCAUAUCAUCGCGAUUUUACUUGAAUUAUUUACCCAUUGCCAUAGUUUUUCAGAAAAUAACAACGAGGGAUAAGCUUACAGCAGCUAUAUUAGGGGUUUCAGCGGUGAAUUUAGGAAUAAAUACUGCAAAGUUUGCAACGACUAGUGGACCAGAAUUAUGGGAAAAUGCAAAACACGCUUUUGAUCAUCCCCUUCAAAACCCUUCAGAAGCUGCUCAAAUACCCGCAUUCAACUUGUCCGACCAUAGAAGAAAUGCGGUUAAUUCCACUGUAUUCAACUCGUCUAGUCAUGGAACUAAUGCCGCUAAAACUGCAAAAUACUCGUCUGAUAAUGCUGAAGCUGCGUCCAGCCUUUCUGACCAGAUGAGUAAUGUUCUUGAAGGUGCAUCAUCGUGUUCUGUUAUGUAAAAUAUGAUUUAGCAGUUAAAACAAACAGAGCUGUAAAACCAUAUCUAGCAGCCCUAGAUAAAAAGAAAACUGUACAGCUUUUAGCAGUUGGGUACAAUUGGUUUAUUUUACUCUUAUAAUAACUCUCACGGGAAACAUCUCUUCAUUAAUAAGAAUGUUGAUGCUCAUGAAUUCACUAUUUGCCUUCUUGUUAUGACAUUUCACAAUCUGUUUGAUAUUUCUUAUAUUUUCCAUCAAAUGAUCAAUUUUGUUUAAUUAUUACAUCAAGUUAUCCGUUUGUGUGAAUAAUCUGUAAAUAAUUAAUCAUUAGUUUCACAAUCUUGUCUUUGACUGGUUCAUUUUUGUAUCUUUGUCGUUUUGUGUUUCACUAUUUUCCACGCAGGAUAGACCAUGGAAGUUUCGUAUUUAGGCUCAAGCAGCCCGCCAUUGCCCAUAUGCAAGGCUGUAUUCGACAAUGACAUUAAAACAAGAAUCAGUCAACUAAGAAAAGAAUAUAUUAAAAGAAAUUCCAAAAUACCUAAGAUUAAUCAAUCAUUAUAAAUGAUCUUCAAUUUAGAAGAGAGAAUAUAAUAUACAGAUGAUGGAAGAGAUAUCAGAGACGGCAAAAGCUUAUUAUGCAAACUUAUCAGAAAAGCAGAAGCGAUUAGCAAAAGAUUUUUUCAACGAAAUGGAUAAAGAUGGAGAUGGAAAAAUUACUUUCGAUGAAUAUGAGCAAUACAUUAAGACAAAGAAAGGCUUUAAAACAAUUGCUUCUUCGGAUUUCUUUAGGAAGCUCGAUAAGGACGGAAAUGGCUCAUUGGAUUUCGAUGAAUUUGUGACUGUACACUACAUAUGCGCAACCGGAAGAGUUUUCUAUUGCGAUGAGUGUAGAGUCUUUCUUGAUAGAGUCUAUUUUACUUGUGUCCAGUGCUUCAAUGGCUCCGGUAAUACUUAUGAUCUCUGUGUUUCUUGCUAUCGCGAUAAGAAUAUCAUUAAUCAUCACAAGGAUGCUGUGUUUCUCGAUAAUUACACGAUGCUGCAAGCCAAGAGGAAUCAGAAUAAUGCAUCAGCAAGUAAGGUAAAAUAUUUUGAAAAUUCAGAUAUAAUCUUGAAAUUCAUAUUUUAAAGUUUUUGACUUUCCUGGAAACAGUUAAAUCUGUAUUAUGAUGUUUAUCUUUUAUCAGGGAAAAAAAGGAGUUGAGGAGACCGUUGAACUUGCAAAGUUGGGUAUUGAAACUAUGUCUAAUGCUGUUAACUUAUGUAACCAAAUGUAAAUUUGCUCAUCUUGAUUUUUCAGAUAACUACGGAGGAUAAGCUAAGAGCAGCUAUAUUAGGGGUCUCGGUGGUGAAAUUAGGAAUAAAAACUAGUAUUGCUGCGAACACUGCAUCGAACUCUGCGGACCAUGGAAGUAAUUUUGCUGAUGUCGCAUCCAAUUUUUUGGAUUUUGCUGAUGUCGCAUCCAAUGUUUUGGAUUUUGCUGAUGUCGCAUCCAAUUUUUUGGACCAUGGAAGUGAUUAUGCUGAGUUUUUAGGUACUGCUGCUGAACUUGCAUCAAAUUGUUCUGUCAUGUAAAAUGUAUAUUUUGCAGCCUUCAACAAAAAAGAGAGCUGUAUAACUUCAGUGCUUGUCUAUACCUCUUGUUGUUUUAAUUUCAAUUUAUAACUAGAUAAAGGUCCGCGCAACGCGUGAAAUUGUUUUAUUGUUAUUUUUCACUACAAUCUUUUUGAUAAAUGAAAAUAAAUAAUUAUCGCUGCAGUCUAAUUUUUAAUAUUGAGAAUUUAAAUUGAAAAAGUGUACCAAUGUCCUGGCUUAAAUUGUCUAAUCUGAUUGUAAAUGGAAAUACUAAAUAAGAAAAGUGUUAAGAAACGUAUUUGAGUAUUAUAUGUCCCCUACCAAAGAAAAUUACACAUUAUCCAAUAGGUUAAUAAGAUAAAUCAAUUAAACAAAAAAAGAUAAUGGUGGAAGAGAAGAGUGCCAAGUCAGAUUCUUAAUGAUAUAUAUUUUUUUUAUUUUAGGAUUAUAUAAAUAUAUAGAUAGUGAAAUAUGCCGUUUUAAAUCAUAUUCAAGCAUAACAAAACAGAAUUUUCUAAGUUUGCAAAUUGAAUUUAUGCUCACAAAGAGGCUUCUUGCCCAUAUAUUGAGUUUGUAGCAAAUAAAGUAGUAACAAUUACUGAUUAUAAGCUUCAUUUAAUAUUUCCUUUGGAAUAGAAAAUUUAAAGGUUUAGACUUUAAUUAGUUCAUGUUUAAAUUCAAAAAAUCAUUUUUAUUUUCCAUACAUAUUAAAUUGAUUUUGAAAUUAAAAUUAGAAUGAGUUUGAUACGUAAAUAAAUAAUAUACUAUUUGCUUUUGCAAACUUUAUUUUUACUUGCAAAAUCAAAAAUUUAAAACCUGGAGUUGUUGCGUGUAUAUACACAAGGGCGCCCUAAUUACCACUUGGAACCUUAGGCUCAAUUAUCAAUUAUUAGUCCAUAGGGUCUGGUCUGUAGCUUAAAAUUAAGCUUAUUCACAUUUCAAAUUCAAUGAUUAGCUAUGAGGGAAAUAGGAUAGGAUAGGAUAGGAAAUAUUAUCCUGUUUGCAUUCAGACAAACACUUCAAAUCUGUGUACGCUUCCCAAGUCAAAUUGAUACUACUAUCUUACAAUUUGUUAAGCAGCCAUUAUGGAACCGCCGGAAGUAAAUAUAUGUUUUGGAGUUUGAUUUAUAAUUUUACUGCUUGUAUUUGUGUCACACCCGUUGAAAAUAUAUAUUAAAUAAAUUUAUAUUCUCAAAUUCUAAUCAAUUUAAAUUUGAAAUUCAUUUAAAAUACAUUUUGUUGCUAAUAAUGAUGAGUAGCUAUUAUCAAAAUCUUAUUUAAUACAGUAGGUAAUGAGUAGCAUAUUGUUAAAAUAGUAAUUUCACUGUUUGUACCGGUUCCAAACCUCUCUAUAACUAUUCAUAUCUUCUUUAAAUAGAAUGAAAGAGUUGAGAAAUAUCCUCAAAUACAUGUUACAUUCUUUUCGGUAAGGACAAUGAUUUAUAAAUUUUAAUAAUAUAAUUAUGAUUUACAAAACAUUUGUAAUUUAAUUUCAUAUGAAUUUGAAUUAAUUAUUAAAACCCAUCACUAUUUAAUUAGUUUUUUCUUAAUUUUAAAUUCCAAUUGGACAAAACAAGGGAAAACUCGUCAAUAACUAUACCCACAGUAUCUUUAGAUGGAUAAGAAUCUAAUUAGGUUCUUUCUGUCCCACACGAAAGGCCAAGUCAAUUUGUGGAAAAGCUUAAAGAGACAAAUUUAAUUUUUUAAUUUAAAAAAAAAAAAAGUGAUAUAAGAGGUUAUUCCGAGAAAAUACCUUUAGGACUAGCUAAUAUUGAGGAAGUUUCCAUCCACUUUGAUGGAACUCUGAGGAAGCAUUAUAUAAAGCGCAAAUCACAGAACCAAAAAGCAAAAGCAAAAGAAAGAAUUAGAAAAACACAGUACAUACAGUUAAAAGAUGGAGAAGAUACGACUGGAUGCUUCAGCUUAUUACAGAAACUUGCCACCUGCAGAAAUGCAAAAGGCAAAGGCUGGGUUCAGUGCAAUGGAUAAUACUGGAAGUGGAAAAGUGAGCCUCAAGCAAUACUCGGAAUACUUUAAACAAAGAGGGCUUGUAGAGCUUACUUAUCCCGAUUUGUUCAAAGCGUUGGAUACAAAUGGAGAUGGCAGACUCGAUUUCGAUGAAUUUAUCACUGUCUACUACCUCUGCAUGAACAAUAAACUGAUAUAUUGUGAAGAAUGCGGGGUCUUUCUCUCUGGAUCCUACAUGAGUUGCCUUCAAUGCUUCAAUAAUGGUUCUGGGGAUCCCUAUAACAUUUGUUAUGAUUGUUAUAGCAGAAACAACAUUGAUCAUCAUAAGGAUGCUUACUUUGUCGAUAAUAUAAAACUCCAUUGCUUCGCAGUUAAAGGCUCUGCAGUUAAUGAAGGCUCCGCAGUUAAUGAAGGCUCCGCAGUUAAUGAAGGCUCCGCAGUUAAUGAAGGCUCCGCAGUUAAUGAAGGCUCCGCAGUUAAUGAAGGCUCCGCAGUUAAUGAAGGCUCCGCAGUUAAUGAAGGCUCCGCAGUUAAUGAAGGCUCCGCAGUUAAUGAAGGCUCCGCAGUUAAUGAAGGCUCCGCAGUUAAUAAAGGCUCUGCAGAUAAUAAUGGCUUCACAACUCGAAGCU
rnacentral:lncRNA from 1 species